GAAAACUGUGAUACAAACAUCAGUGCUUUCAAGUCUUAGUAUCCUGAUAUCAAAAAAGUCCUGCUGCUAGGCAGACACCAGCCUCUGUUGGCAAGAAGUCACUUAACCUCAGUGUGGUUUACUCGUGUGCUGUACCAGUGUCCCAGAUCACCUCAGCUGGAGCAGCAAAGUGUUUGGUCACCUCCCUUUCAAGGGCACGUGUCAGUGCAGAUUUGGUCCCACAUUUUAGAAGAAGAUACUUACAGUGGCUUGAUAGUAUAGCAGCACAACCUCUGGUGAAGACAAGGACACAAGAGUUUAGGAAAAACUUCCUGGCCAAGAAGAGCUCUGGAAAUUCACUACCAGGUCUGAUUAAAGCACAGGGAAAGGGGCAGGAGUGGCUGAUGUGAAACGGUGACUUUCUUUUCUUACACUUUUGCAUCAAUUAAGUUACUUAGUAAUCUGGAUUGCACCUCCACAUAUUUUUUAUUUGAUUGCUGUGUGAAUGCUCAUUGCUUACUUUGCUUUUGUUUUAUGUUUUUUUCUGAUACUUACUGAAAGCUCUAAACCCAAAUAAAUGACAGGUUCACUAAAAACUCAAUCUUGCUUUUGUGCUGCAAAAGCCCAUUCAAGGCUUCAUAAGCCCCUCAAAAUUGAUUUUUGGAGCGCUGUUAUUUAAUCUGCCCUUUACAAAACUUUAAUGCCUUGAGCAAAUCCUUCUUGCCUUAUUCCCACCAAAAGGCACUUUGACUUCAUGGUAAGCAGAUAAAUGUAAGACAAAAAAUGCAGUUCAGACUGUUCCCCCAGUCCCUAGUAAUUCUCUAACUUCUCUAUUCUCCCUUUCUCAUUAUUGAAGAAAGCCUCCUGUGUAAACACUACUUUUUGUGCUCCCAUGGCACACAGACUUUUUCCCAUCACUUGCUUGCUCUCCCCCACCUGCUAGAUCUGACUCAUUAGUUCAGCUUUAGCUUUGCUUCACCUCUUCACUCCCCUAAGAAUUGUAUUUAAAGUUCAUGGCACUGCUCUUAUUCUCAGCAUACUUUCUCUUCACAUACCUAGCAGCACUGCAGAUAAUACUUUGUAAUGUUCCCUGGGCUCAGCGGCUCCAACUUCAAUAUUUUCUUGCAGAGUUCAGUCUUUGAAAGGAGGUCUGUGGCAGAGGUGGCAAAGGGAAUCUGAAGGCUAACCCUGGGCCAGGCACUGGGUUAAUUCAGCCUCCUUGCCAGCUCAGGGUACAUUGUCAUCUGAGCCACUGCCAGCCAGACCAACCCAAAGCGGUGCUCCAGCCUUUGCAAGUGGAACUGCCUGCAAAACAACAUCCACUGCCUUUGAGGGAGGCACCUCUGCAUGUGGCACCUCCUAAGGGUUUGCUGUCAUUAGUUUGCAUGCAGAGGAGGCAGAAGGACAUCAGUGGGACUGACUGCAGUAAAGCUGUGAUUUUGCUUGCAGUGUAUGCCUGGCCUCAAGGAGCAGAUGGCCUGGAUGGAUCCCGGCUGCUGUCACUUGGUGCUGGUGCUGCAUUCAGAGCAUUUGGGCCCAGGCUGCAAAGUGAGAGGAAGCCUAAAACUGCCCAGUGCUAAGGGUUACACUUAACCUACUUGGAAAGAAAAGGGUUUGAAGCACUAAUUUUAGUGAACUUUUAGUGUCAAAUAACACCACUAUCCACAUUACUUUGUCUUUUCUUUAUGAAAAGUUUCCACUGAAAGAAAAUCAGCUAUCGUAUAACAGCUUCCAACUAGAAAGAAACCAGUAACUACAACUACACAAAGACUGAGAUACUGGCAGUUAAUGCUGGCAGCAAGUAGGUUGAAGUAGUUGGUUCUGCCAUCCACAUUAUUUAUACUGUAAUGGCCUUUAAACAGUAAUGCAGUGGUGAUUGUGUUGUCACCCUUCCUAUAAUGAAGUGUUUCCCCUUACCAGUUGCACCUGAUAUAUGUUAUAAUUGUUCUGAAACUCUUAUAAAACUUGACCAGCAGAAUAUUCAAAAAAGCUUAAAUAUCUUUAAAAAUAUUUGCAUUAAGUACUUCUUUGUGGCUUAUUCUUUCAUUUUUCUUUUAUCUGAAGAGACUCAUGAGUUCAGUGAUUGACAGAUACAAAUUGUAAGGCAGACCUUGGUUUGACUGAAAUCAACAGCAAAACAUUCAAUGACUUAAUUUUACCCCAGGGCAAGUAAAAGGCAGUUGGAAAACACCAUGCAAAGAGCCAAAGGAUUAUGACUCCAGCGACAGAGCGGCUUAUGAGAUUUUGUCUGCAACAGAAAUUUAUAAAUAAUUCCAUUUUUG